AUUGAACGCUGGCGGCAGGCCUAACACAUGCAAGUCGAGCGAGCGGCGGACGGGUGAGUAAUGUCUGGGAACCUGCCUGAUGGAGGGGGAUAACUACUGGAAACGGUAGCUAAUACCGCAUACCAUCAGAUGUGCCCAGAUGGGAUUCGCUAGUAGGUGGGGUAACGGCUCACCUAGGCGCCGAUCCCUAACUGGUCUGAGAGGAUGACCAGCCACCCUGGAACGGAGACACGGUCCAGACUCCGACGGGAGGCAGCAGUGGGGAAUAUUGCACAAUGGGCGCAAGCCUGAUGCAGCCAUGCCGCGUGUGGGAAGAAGGCCUUCGGGUGGUAAAGCACUUUCAGCGGGGAGGCGUUACCCGCAGAAGAAGCACCGGCUAACGCCGUGCCAGCAGCCGCGGUAAUUC
rnacentral:rRNA from 1 species